rnacentral:rRNA from 1 species
CCUACGGGGGGCUGCAGCGACGAAUCUUCCGCAAUGGGCGCAAGCCUGACGGAGCGACGCCGCGUGUGGGAUGAAGCGCCUUCGGCGUGUAAACCACUGUCAGGUGACAGAAACACUGAUCGUCACCAGAGGAAGGGGCGACUAACUCUGUGCCAGCAGUCGCGGUAAUACAGAGGCCCCGAGCGUUAAUCGGAAUCACUGGGCUUAAAGGGUGCGUAGGCGGAUUUGCAAGCGUCUUGUGAAAGCCCUCGGCUCAACCGAGGAACUGCGGGGCGAACUGCAAAUCUUGAGGCAGGUAUGGGUUGCUGGAACAGUAGGUGGAGCGGUGAAAUGCGUAGAUAUCUACUGGAACGCCGAUGGUGAAGACGAGCAACUGGGCCUGUCCUGACGCUGAGGCACGAAAGCGUGGGGAGCAAACAGGAUUAGAUACCCUGGUAGUC